GUAGGGUGCGAGCGUUAUCCGGAAUCAUUGGGCGUAAAGAGCUCGUAGGCGGUUCAGCAAGUCGGCUGUGAAAUUCCGAGGGCUCAACCUCGGAACUGCAGUCGAUACUGCUGUGCCUCGAGUCCGGUAGAGGAGAAUGGAAUUCCCGGUGUAGCGGUGAAAUGCGCAGAUAUCGGGAGGAACACCAGUAGCGAAGGCGGUUCUCUGGGCCGGCACUGACGCUGAGGAGCGAAAGCGUGGGUAGCAAACAGGAUUAGAUACCCUGGUAGUCCACGCCGUAAACGUUGGAUACUAGGUGUGGGGUUCCGACCAACGGUCCCCGUGCCGAAGCUAACGCAUUAAGUAUCCCGCCUGGGGAGUACGGCCGCAAGGCUA
rnacentral:rRNA from 1 species